rnacentral:rRNA from 1 species
UGGGGAAUAUUGGACAAUGGGCGCAAGCCUGACGACGCAACGCCGCGUGGAGGAUGAAGACCUUCGGGUCGUAAACUCCUUUCGACCGAGAUGAACAGCCACUGACCGAAUACGUCGGUGGCCUGACAGUAUCGAGGGACGAAGCUCCGGCUAACUACGUGCCAGCAGCCGCGGUAAUACGUAGGGAGCAAGCGUUGUUCGGAUUUACUGGGCGUAAAGGGCGCGUAGGCGGCGCGGUAAGUCACUUGUGAAAUCUCUGAGCUUAACUCAGAACGGCCAAGUGAUACUGCAGUGCUAGAGUGUAGAAGGGGCAAUCGGAAUUCUUGGUGUAGCGGUGAAAUGCGUAGAUAUCAAGAGGAACACCUGAGGUGAAGACGGGUUGCUGGUCUAACACUGACGCUGAGGCGCGAAAGCCAGGGGAGCAAA